CGAAAGCCUGACGGAGCAACGCCGCGUGAGGGAUGAAGGCCUCUGGGCUGUAAACCUCUUUUCUCAAGGAAGAAGAUCUGACGGUACUUGAGGAAUAAGCCACGGCUAAUUCCGUGCCAGCAGCCGCGGUAAUACGGGAGUGGCAAGCGUUAUCCGGAAUUAUUGGGCGUAAAGCGUCCGCAGGCGGUUCUGUAAGUCUGUCGUUAAAGCGUGGAGCUUAACUCCAUUUAAGCGAUGGAAACUACAAGGCUUGAGUGUGGUAGGGGCAGAGGGAAUUCCCGGUGUAGCGGUGAAAUGCGUAGAUAUCGGGAAGAACACCAGUGGCGAAGGCGCUCUGCUGGGCCAUAACUGACGCUCAUGGACGAAAGCCAGGGGAGCG
rnacentral:rRNA from 1 species